CCUACGGGAGGCAGCAGUGAGGAAUAUUGGUCAAUGGGCGCGAGCCUGAACCAGCCAAGUCGCGUGAGGGAAGACGGUCCUAUGGAUUGUAAACCUCUUUUGUCGGGGAGCAAAAGACGCCACGCGUGGCGUUCCGAGAGUACCCGAAGAAAAAGCAUCGGCUAACUCCGUGCCAGCAGCCGCGGUAAUACGGAGGAUGCGAGCGUUAUCCGGAUUUACUGGGUGUAAAGGGAGCGUAGACGGCUGGCCAAGUCUGAAGUGAAAGCCCGGGGCUUAACCCCGGAACGGCUUUGGAAACUGGCCGGCUGGAGUGCUGGAGAGGCAGGCGGAAUUCCUGGUGUAGCGGUGAAAUGCGUAGAUAUCAGGAGGAACACCGGUGGCGAAGGCGGCCUGCUGGACAGUAACUGACGUUGAGGCUCGAAAGCGUGGGGAGCAAACAGGAUUAGAUACCCCAGUAGUC
rnacentral:rRNA from 1 species